UACGUAGGGGGCGAGCGUUGUCCGGAAUUAUUGGGCGUAAAGCGCGCGCAGGCGGUUCACUAAGUCUGAUGUGAAAGCCCCCGGCUUAACCGGGGAGGGUCAUUGGAAACUGGUGGACUUGAGUGCAGGAGAGGAGAGUGGAAUUCCACGUGUAGCGGUGAAAUGCGUAGAGAUGUGGAGGAACACCAGUGGCGAAGGCGGCUCUCUGGCCUGUAACUGACGCUGAGGCGCGAAAGCGUGGGGAGCAAACAGG
rnacentral:rRNA from 1 species